rnacentral:sRNA from 1 species
AUUCGAAAUCUUGCCCUUUGUCCCGCAAAUCAUGCACCUUUGCGUGAGCAGGGUGCCAUUCCACGACUAGUUCAGUUGCUUGUUCGCGCACAUCAGGAUACCCAGCGCCGUACGUCCAUGGGUGGGACACAGCAGCAAUUUGUGGAGGGGGUCCGCAUGGAAGAAAUAGUUGAAGGUUGUACCGGAGCCCUUCACAUCCUAGCUCGGGAUGUUCACAACCGAAUUGUUAUCAGAGGACUAAAUACCAUUCCAUUGUUUGUGCAGCUGCUUUAUUCUCCCAUUGAAAACAUCCAAAGAGUAGCUGCAGGGGUCCUCUGUGAACUUGCUCAGGACAAGGAAGCUGCAGAAGCUAUUGAAGCUGAGGGAGCCACAGCUCCUCUGACAGAGUUACUUCACUCUAGGAAUGAAGGUGUGGGUAAGUAAAAAGGAACCAAAGCCUUUAGCAGAUGUGUACAUUGAAGUCUCAGUUUUUCCUCAAAGGCCUUUUUCUCCUUGUCUCUUAGCGACGUAUGCAGCUGCUGUUUUGUUCCGAAUGUCUGAGGACAAGCCACAAGAUUACAAGAAACGGCUUUCAGUUGAGCUGACCAGCUCUCUCUUCAGAACAGAGCCAAUGGCUUGGAAUGAGGUAGGGAAAUGUGAGCAGUUAUUUAUCUGGUAGUUUCCUAGAGCAGGUAAGGCAGCUUGUUCUUUCCUCUCAAAACACUUAGUACACAUUCAUUUGCAUUGAUGUUUCCCUGGCUUGAGUAUUUCUUCUUUAUGCUGUCUAGCAACUGCUCUGAGGAAGAACUAUAAUACAAGCUUUAAAGAGCCUGUUCAGAAUCAUUACAAAUAAGUUGUGUUAUUUAAAAUUAUAAUUCAUAAGGGAGAAAGAUGAAAAA